rnacentral:lncRNA from 1 species
CAUACACCAAUUAAUCAUGAAUAAAACUGAUCAUUAAGCAUGAACGUAAAUUAAGCCCAGAGAUAAUUAAUCAAGCACUAAGCAUGCAUGGAUUAAUAGCAACAAAUACAGAGUAAUUGGUGAAGAGGAAAAACUUAUCAGUAUUCAAUAGUAAUAACAAAACCUCAAAGAGAGUUGUGCAUGAUCCUUAAGAGAAAACAAUGCUGGAGACUUAGCCUUCCAUUAAUCAGCAGAAAACGAAAUUGUAGAUUGAAGCAUUAACGAAAUUGUAGAAAACGAAUUUUAUUCUACGUGAACAGUGUGCAUGAACAGUAAUAAAACUGGAAUUGCAAAACCCUAAAAUUAUUCUCCUCUCCAGGAAAAAAACUCCCUAAACUAAAACCCUGGUGCUAUUACAUAGGUCCUCAACCCCAAAGCUUACAAAUCUGUUUUAAGUCCACGCUCAUAAACGAAAUAAAAUAAAAUCUGGACAAGAUAAGAUAAGAUUGGAUGAAAUAAAAUCUGGACAAAAUAAAAUCUGGAUAAGAUAAGAUUUGAUAAAAUAAAAUUGUUUGUUCUCUUCAAGUCCAAGCCCAAUUCUGGAUUCAAGCCCAAUUGCUUAUAAUUCUUCUGAAAUUAAAUUAAAAACAUAAAAUUAGUCAAGUAGGCCCAAAUGAUAAAACUGCAUAAUUAAUUUGAUAAUUAAGGCUAAUAAGUAAUUAAAAUGGUGACAAAAAGGGUUAAGAAAUAGGAGAAAAUAAUGACACAUUAGUUAGGUUUAUGGGGUGGACUUAAUGCAGGUUUUUGUGUUGGGGAGUUUUAGUUCAAUAGCUACACAAAGGUACACUUGUUGUCCACUACAUAUUAAGAAUGAGGUUCAUUCAUCUAUUAUGAAAAGUUAAACCAAUUCAUCCAUUUUAUUCAUGAUUGAUCUACUAUAAAAACAAUAAUUGGGAUGUGGAACACUAAAAAAAACUAAGGUAAAAGUUAAAAAAAAUGAUGACUAGGAAUCUAGUUUUACCAAGUAUUUAAGAUCCAACAUCGAAUAAUAAUCAAGACUAAAUAACGGUAUUCUGUUAUUUACUGAGACAUAUUUUAAAGGACAAAAUGUAAAGAUCUAUAAGUGUAAAAACAAAUAAUACCUUAAAUGUGAUCAACAUAACACUCCAGUAGAAUAAGUAGAACAAUACUAUAUAUGACUUUAAUAUGUGAUAUAUGUAAAAUGAUAGCUAAAAUGCAUGGAAGCACCCUAAACCUUAUAGGGCUGCACAUUGCCUCGGGAUUGAUAAUAGCAAGUAAUUUCUAUGCUAGUUGUUUUUCAAACAAUGGUGUUGACACAAUGAGUCAUGAAAAGGUAUUGCAUAAUUAAGUCCAAGACAAUUUAUUGUUCAAUCUCUAUCGAGUUCUGUAAUGUUAUCUCAACUCUCAAGUGUAGUUGGGGCAGGGCUCCACACGACCACUUGGUCCUCAGUGACACAGUUUACUUUGAUGUGACCAUGGGUAACAAACAAGCUAUAUUGAAUGCAUUGAUAUCAGUAUUGACAACAAACAUAGUUAAAUCAAGAGACUUAUUUUAGCCUAUUCUUCGGUGGAGAGAUAAAAAACAUUUUGUUUUUGAAUAAAUAAAAAAUACAAAGGGAGUGAAAGAAAGAAAGUUUAAAAAUCUUAUGUGCCUAUGACGUAAAUUAAGGUUAUCUAAUUUCACCCACUUCUUAUGCGCUUAUAAUCCAUUCUUGCUUGGACUUCAGGCCCCUCACACAAUCCCAUAGCAUAAAUGUCAUUAAUUCCAGACUCAGAUAACUACUACCCUAACCAUUAUAAGUCAUCCUUCCCUCAAUCUUCUUUUUAACAUUAAAAAUCAAGCUAAUAUCGCAAAUAACCAUAACUAGAAAUAUUAUCUCUAUCUUUCUUUUCUUUUUUAACUUGUUGUGAUUUAUAGCAUGUGUACAAUGUGGGAAUAAACCAAACCAAUAAAUACUUUUUACCUUUUUUAUCUUUUGCUUAUAAGAAAAUAAACAUACACUAAUAAGUUGAGUCAAAUGCAUUUUUUGGUCAAAGAUAUGUGCAGGCUCCAAAGCUUGUUUCGCAAUUCAUAUUUUGCUCUGAACUUUCUCCAAAUACCGUGUGGAACAAAGAGUUCAUGCCUUUUUUUUUCUUGGACACAAAAUGAAAGUCAACAUAGAGCAGAAUGCGAGGUAGCUGUAAACGUAAAUAUAUGAUUCUAUAGGCCAGUAAAAUUAAUUUAUAUUUUCAACCCCCAAAAUAUUUUCAAAUUAAUCCCAAAUAGGCCUAUGUGAGGUAGUUGUAAACGUCAAUAUAUGAUUCUAUGAUUUCUAUCUACAAUGUUUGCUAACCAUCACCCACUAACUGACCCACAAAUUCAUAAGUAGAAUUAGUGCCAAAGAGGAAACUAAAUCUGUAGUAAUCAAGAAGGAAACUAAAUCUGCAGUAAUCACAACCAUAGACAUUUAGUUUCUAACCUUACUCCUGUGAAGGUGUCCUUCUUUGGUUACAAAGUGUUUCUGUUUCAAACCCUAGAAUCCGUCAAUCCACAAGAUCUGCUACAAGCAAGAACUAGCAGGCACAUAACACUGCUUGGUCCAUGAAUCAGUGCAUGAAAUUGGUGUUAACGAGCUAGAGUGAAGCUAGAUUUGAGGAUUACCUUACCAAUGUGGAACCUCUUCCCCUCAAAUCUACCAUUCUUGUGAAGCAGAACCAAACAAUGAAAUAGAAAAUUAAAAUCACAAGCUGAAAGGAAUAUACUUUAGGGGGAGAAAUGAUUCCACACCAUCUGUUGCAAUUAAAAAAGAAAAUGAUAGAGUCAUGAAAUUAAAAAAAUGUGGAACUUCUUGAGCUGAGAACAUACAAUAGUGGGAUGAGAUAGAAAGAAGUAUUUAUUUAUUUAUAUGUGCAGUGAAAGGAAAAGAAUCCAAAACUACAAAGAAAGCGAACGUGAUUGCCAUUUUACUAUUCAC